UUGGAGGGCAAGUCUGGUGCCAGCAGCCGCGGUAAUUCCAGCUCCAAUAGCGUAUAUUAAAGUUGUUGCAGUUAAAAAGCUCGUAGUUGAAUUUCGGGGUCAGUAGGUUGGUCAUGCCACUGGUAUGUACUGGUCUCACUGAUUCCUCCUUCCUGAUGAACUGUAAUGCCAUUAAUUUGGUGUUGCAGGGAAUCUGGACUGUUACUUUGAAAAAAUUAGAGUGUUUAAAGCAGGCUAACGCCUGAAUACAUUAGCAUGGAAUAAUGAAAUAGGACGUUCGAUCCUAUUUUGUUGGUUUCUAGGAUUGACGUAAUGAUUAAUAGGGAUAGUUGGGGGCAUUAGUAUUCAAUUGUCAGAGGUGAAAUUCUUGGAUUUAUUGAAGACUAACUACUGCGAAAGCAUUUGCCAAGGAUGUUUUCAUUAAUCAAGAACGAAAGUUAGGGGAUCGAAGACGAUCAGAUACCGUCGUAGGCUUAACCAUAAACUAUGCCGACUAGGGAUCGGAUGAUGUUAAUUUUUUAAUGACUCAUUCGGCGCCUUACGGGAAACCAAAGUGUUUGGGUUC
rnacentral:rRNA from 1 species